rnacentral:lncRNA from 1 species
UACUCCCUCCGUCCCCAAAAUAAGUUCCUCUUUGGGGACGGCACGGGUUUUAAGAAAAAAUGGUAAAGUGUAUUGAUAGUGGAGAAAAAUAUGUUAUAAUUAGUAUUGGGAGUGGUUAAAAGGUGAAAAAGUGUUAUAAUUAGUAUUGGGAGUGGUGAAAAAGUGAAAAGUAAGAAUAAAUAAAGUAUUAUUAGUGGUGGGGUAGUUGUCCAAAAAUGGAAAGAAAGAAAGAGAAACUUAUUUGGGGGACGUCC